GGAUCAUUAAACUAUAUCCUCGGGGGGCCGGUCUUGGGAAAGUGCACCCUUGUGGUGUUGGCUUAACGGCCUUGACGCUUUUUCCUCCCCGCCCUGCCUGAAUAUAAACCCAUGUUUUUGCGCACCCAUUGUUUCCUCGGCGGGCUUGCCUGCCAGUAGGACCUUUUAAACCCAUUGUAAUUGCAGUCAGCGUCAGAAAAACUUAAUAGUUACAACUUUCAACAACGGAUCUCUUGGUUCUGGCAUCGAUGAAGAACGCAGCGAAAUGCGAUAAGUAGUGUGAAUUGCAGAAUUCAGUGAAUCAUCGAAUCUUUGAACGCACAUUGCGCCCCUUGGUAUUCCAUGGGGCAUGCCUGUUCGAGCGUCAUUUGUACCCUCAAGCUCUGCUUGGUGUUGGGUGUUUGUCCACGUUUUGCGGACUCGCCUUAAAUCUAUUGGCAGCCGGCAGUCUGGUGUUGGAGCGCAGCACAUUUUGCGCUUCUUACCAAGUUGUCGGCGUCCAUCAAGUCUACACUUUUGCUCUUGACCUC
rnacentral:rRNA from 1 species